UGGGGAAUAUUGGACAAUGGGCGCAAGCCUGAUCCAGCCAUGCCGCGUGGGUGAAGAAGGCCUUCGGGUUGUAAAGCCCUUUAGGUGGGGAGGAAGGCAUUCAUGCUAAUACCAUGGAUGAUUGACGUUACCCACAGAAUAAGCACCGGCUAACUCCGUGCCAGCAGCCGCGGUAAUACGGAGGGUGCGAGCGUUAAUCGGAAUUACUGGGCGUAAAGAGCACGUAGGCGGUUUGAUAAGUGGGAUGUGA
rnacentral:rRNA from 1 species